rnacentral:rRNA from 1 species
AUUGAACGCUGGCGGCAGGCCUAACACAUGCAAGUCGAGCGAGCGGCGGACGGGUGAGCAAUGUCUGGGAAACUGCCUGAUGGAGGGGGAUAACAACUGGAAACGGUAGCUAAUACCGCAUACCAUCGGAUGUGCCCAGAUGGGAUUAGCUUGUAGGUGAGGGAACGGCUCACCUAGGCGACGAUCCCUAGCUGGUCUGAGAGGAUUACCAUCCACACUGGAACUGAGACACCGUCCAGACUCCUACGGGAGGCAGCAGUGGGGAAUAUUGCACAAUGGGCGCAAGCCUGAUGCAGCCAUGCCGCGUGUAUGAAGAAGGCCUUCGGGUUGUAAAGUACUUUCAUCGGGGAGGCGUUACCCGCAGAAGAAGCACCGGCUAACUCCGUGCCAGCAGCCGCGGUAAUAC